UACGAAGGGUGCAAGCGUUACUCGGAAUUACUGGGCGUAAAGCGUGCGUAGGUGGUUUGUUAAGUCUGAUGUGAAAGCCCUGGGCUCAACCUGGGAAUUGCAUUGGAUACUGGCAGGCUAGAGUGCGGUAGAGGAUGGCGGAAUUCCCGGUGUAGCAGUGAAAUGCGUAGAGAUCGGGAGGAACAUCUGUGGCGAAGGCGGCUCUCUGGACCGAUACUGACGCUGAGGCGCGAAAGCGUGGGGAGCAAACAGG
rnacentral:rRNA from 1 species